rnacentral:rRNA from 1 species
GACGUAGGGCGCGAGCGUUGUCCGGAUUUAUUGGGCGUAAAGAGCUCGUAGGCGGCUCAUUGCGUCAACCGUGAAAACCAGCAGCUCAACUGUUGGCUUGCGGUUGAUACGGGUGGGCUGGAGUUCGGUAGGGGAGAAUGGAAUUCCUGGUGUAGCGGUGAAAUGCGCAGAUAUCAGGAGGAACACCGGUGGCGAAGGCGGGUGUCUGGGCCGAUACUGACGCUGAGGAGCGAAAGCGUGGGGAGCGAACAGG